rnacentral:rRNA from 1 species
AGUGAACGCUGGCGGUAGGCCUAACACAUGCAAGUCGAACGGCAGCACAGUAAGAGCUUGCUCUUACGGGUGGCGAGUGGCGGGCGGGUGAGGUAUACAUCGGAAUCUACUUUUUUGUGGGGGAUAACGUAGGGAAACUUACUCUAAUACCGCAUACGACCUACGGGUGAAAGCAGGGGAUCUUCGGACCUUGCGCGAUUGAAUGAGCCGAUGUCGGAUUAGCUAGUUGGCGGGGUAAAGGCCCACCAAGGCGACGAUCCGUAGCUGGUCUGAGAGGAUGAUCAGCCACACUGGAACUGAGACACGGUCCAGACUCCUACGGGAGGCAGCAGUGGGGAAUAUUGGACAAAGGGCGCAAGCCUGAUCCAGCCAUACCGCGUGGGUGAAGAAGGCCUUCGGGUUGUAAAGCCCUUUUGUUGGGAAAGAAAAGCAGCAGGUUAAUACCCCGCUGUUCUGACGGUACCCAAAGAAUAAGCACCGGCUAACUUCGUG